GGGUACGAUCAUACCAGGACUAAUGCACCGGAUCCCAUCAGAACUUAGCAACUAAGCGUGCUUGGGCGUGAGUAGUACUAGAAUGGGUGACCUCCUGGGUAUUCCUCGUGUUGCACCCC
rnacentral:rRNA from 1 species